rnacentral:lncRNA from 1 species
AUGAGUUACAGCGAUCAUCUAGGUCUACGUCUGGAAAACAGAGUUUCUGGCUCAUACUCAGGGGAAGACGUAAACAUGGCAAUCGAUGGCAAUUUCUCCAUCACACUUUUCCAGAACCUCAGAGAAUUACCUGUAUUGAUCAGAACAAGGGUAGAGAUUUUCAGGCCUUUGAAAACAUUUCACAGGAUUAUUGAGCUAUGUAUACAUUAA